UUGUGUGUAGAUUGAGGGUGGGGGGAAAACUAUGUAAUCCAUUUUUGAAUAAGGCUGAAAUGUAACAAAAUCUGGAAAAAGUCAAGGGGUCUGAAUACUUUCCGAAAGCACCACAAGAUUGCAACACUAUGCAGCCACAAUGUGUGUUGUAAUCAGCAAGAAAUUAGUGUUCUACUGAGAAAAUAUUAUGCACGAGAUGGUGUAUACGAAAAUGUAAUACAGAUGUUGAUUCAUUAUAUAAAUGCAUUCACUGUUUUUCAGUAAAACAGACUCCAUCUGCAGCAUCUCCCACCACAACUGGAAAUGCAACAACGACAACCACAGCUGUCCCACAACAACCACAGCUGUCCCCACAACAACCACAGCUGCCAACACUACAACCACAGCUGCCAAAACCACAACCACAGCUGCCAACACUACAACCACAGCAACCAACACUACAACCACAGCUGCCAACACUACAACCACAGCUGCCCAAACCACAACCACAGCUGCCAACACUACAACCACAGCUGUCCCCACAGCAGCCACAAUUGCCAACACUACAUCCACAUCUGCCAAAACCACAACCACAGCUGCCAACAAUAUCACCACAGCUGCCAACACUACAACCACAGCUGUCCACAAAACAGCCACAGCUGUAACACUGCAACCACAGCUGCCCCCACAAAAACCACAGCCGCUCCAACUACAACACCCUCGCUCGCAUUUGUUUUGAACCUGGUAUUCAGAUCAGAUGAGGUUUUCAGUCCUGAUCUGACAAAUACCUCUUCACCUUUGUUCCAGAGUCUGGCAACGAAGACAAUUAAAGCGCUUGAGCCUCUGUUUAAGGCACAAUUCCCAAACUUCAUAAGACUGAUUGUGGUGGGUUUCAGGAAUGGUUCCAUCAUCACAGACACCCAGCUGGAGUUUUGCUGCCGCUAACACAACUGCUAAUGCGACCACACCUUUUGCUGAGGCUGUGGCUACUACUCUGAAGGCUGCGAUCACCAAUGGAAGUUUGAGUAUCAACAUCUCAGCCAAUUUCAAGAUUACUGUAAAACCGACUCCAUCCGCAGCAUCUCCCACCACAACUGGAAAUGAAACGACAACAACCACAGCUGUCAAAACCACAACAACAGCUGCCAACACUACAACCACAGCUGUCCCCA